rnacentral:tRNA from 1 species
GCCACCGUAGCUCAGUUGGUAGAGCAGGCCACUCGUAAUGGUCAGGUCAUGGGUUCGAGUCCCAUCGGUGGCU